rnacentral:rRNA from 1 species
GACGGAGGAUGCAAGUGUUAUCCGGAAUCACUGGGCGUAAAGCGUCUGUAGGUGGUUCGAAAAGUCCACUGUUAAAAAUUGAGGCUUAACUUCAAAGAUGCCGUGGAAACUUUCAAACUAGAGUAUGGUAGGGGUAGAGGGAAUUUCCAGUGGAGCGGUGAAAUUCGUAGAUAUUGGGAAGAACACCGGUGGCGAAGGCGGCGACCUGGUCCAAGACUGACGCUGAGGCGCGAAAGCGUGGGGAGCAAACAGG